rnacentral:rRNA from 1 species
UGAGGAAUAUUGGACAAUGGGCGCAAGCCUGAUCCAGCCAUGCCGCGUGCAGGAUGACGGUCCUAUGGAUUGUAAACUGCUUUUGUACAGGAAGAAACACUCCCUCGUGAGGGAGCUUGACGGUACUGUAAGAAUAAGGAUCGGCUAACUCCGUGCCAGCAGCCGCGGUAAUACGGAGGAUCCAAGCGUUAUCCGGAAUCAUUGGGUUUAAAGGGUCCGUAGGCGGUUUAAUAAGUCAGUGGUGAAAGCCCAUCGCUCAACGGUGGAACGGCCAUUGAUACUGUUAAACUUGAAUUAUUAGGAAGUAACUAGAAUAUGUAGUGUAGCGGUGAAAUGCUUAGAGAUUACAUGGAAUACCAAUUGCGAAGGCAGGUUACUACUAAUGGAUUGACGCUGAUGGACGAAAGCGUGGGUAGCGAACA